GACUAACGCUGGCGGCGUGCCUAAUACAUGCAAGUCGAACGGGAUUCUUUGAUCAGCUUGCUGAGAGAAGGAUCUAGUGGCGGACGGGUGAGUAACGCGUGGGAAUCUGCCUCUUACUGGGGGAUAACAGUGGGAAACUACUGCUAAUACCGCAUAAGAUCUUCGGAUGAAAGGUGCAACUGCACCGGUAAGAGAUGAGCCCGCGUCCCAUUAGCUAGUUGGUGAGGUAAAGGCUCACCAAGGCGACGAUGGGUAGCCGGCCUGAGAGGGUGAACGGCCACACUGGGACUGAGACACGGCCCAGACUCCUACGGGAGGCAGCAGUAGGGAAUCUUCCGCAAUGGGCGCAAGCCUGACGGAGCGACGCCGCGUGAGUGAUGAAGGCCUUCGGGUCGUAAAGCUCUGUUCUUGUAGGACGAAUAAGCCAGGGAGUGGAAAGACCCUGGUGAUGACUGUACUCAAGGAGAAAGCUACCGGCUAACUACGUGCC
rnacentral:rRNA from 1 species